rnacentral:rRNA from 1 species
AUGCUCCAACACAGCACCGGCAGUCCAACGAUGCUCCGUCGCAGCUCCAUAGCAGCACCGACGACUCUCGGAGAUGCUCCAUUGCAACCUCAUUGCUGCACGGCGCGGUGCUUCGUCGCAGCUACAGUGCUACACCGCCCCCAUCGUCGGUGCCUCCAUGAAAGCUGCAUUGUAGCUACGCCGCCUCCCUCGAUGGUGCAGCGAAGCAACGAUGCACCCAUUGUGGCGCUGCCGCCGGCUACCUCGAGCAUCGGAGCCACCGAAGAGCUCCAACGGAGCAGCACCGAAACUGAUGAAAAAAAGCUUUGCAACGCCGACGACACCCCAGGGAAGCUCCAUGGCAGCACCGCAGCUCCAAAAAAGCUCUGA